GAUGAACGCUGGCGGCGUGCUUAACACAUGCAAGUCGAACGGAAAGGCCACAGCUUGCUGUGGUACUCGAGUGGCGAACGGGUGAGUAACACGUGGGUGAUCUGCCCUGUACUUCGUGAUAAGCUUGGGAAACUGGGUCUAAUACCGGCUAGGAAUCACAUGUGGGUGUGUGGUUUGAAAGCUUUUGCGGUAUGGGAUGAGUGCGCGGCCUAUCCGCUUGCUGGUGGGGUAAUGGCCUACCAAGGCGUCGACGGGUAGCCGGCCUGAGAGGGGGGACGGGGACAUUGGGACUGAGAGACGGACCAGACUGCUACGGGAGGCAGCGGGGGGGAGUAUUGCACAAUGGGCGCAAGCCUGAUGCAGCGGCGCUGCGUGGGGGAUGACGGCCUUCGGGUUGUAAACUCCUUUCGUCAGGGACGAAGCGAAAGUGACGGUACCUGGAUAAGAAGCACCGGCUAACUACGUG
rnacentral:rRNA from 1 species